GUGAGGAAUAUUGGUCAAUGGACGGAAGUCUGAACCAGCCAUGCCGCGUGAAGGAUGAAGGCGUUCUGCGUUGUAAACUUCUUUUAUUAGAGAAGAAAUCACUUUUUUCUAAGAGUGUUGACGGUAUCUAAUGAAUAAGCACCGGCUAACUCCGUGCCAGCAGCCGCGGUAAUACGGAGGGUGCAAGCGUUAUCCGGAUUUACUGGGUUUAAAGGGUGCGUAGGCGGACUUUUAAGUCAGGGGUGAAAUCCCGAGGCUCAACCUCGGAACUGCCUUUGAUACUAUUAGUCUUGAAUUAUGUUGAGGUUGGCGGAAUAUAACAUGUAGCGGUGAAAUGCUUAGAUAUGUUAUGGAACACCGAUUGCGAAGGCAGCUGGCUAAACAUAUAUUGACGCUGAUGCACGAAAGUGUGGGUAGCGAACAGGAUUAGAUACCCUUGUAGUCC
rnacentral:rRNA from 1 species